CCCACUUCGUCCGGUGUUUGUUCGCUCUUCGAGUCCAAAUGCCAUAAGCUCUCCUUGUCCGCCGCGGCUUGUACCUGAAAACCACACACAAAACGAACCCAAAAAAAACGAGGGGGGCUGCAAGAUGGAGAGUCUUGGUCUGGGGAGUAACGAAAUUAAAUCUAGAAAAUAACGCAAUUAAAUCGUGAAAAUAUUGUUAAUUUCUCAACAAUAACA
rnacentral:lncRNA from 1 species